CAAAUUGAUCCUGCCUUGAGAAUAAGGGACUGGAGUGAAUGAUCUCUGUGAGGCCUUUCCAACCCUGUUCUUCUUUGAUCCUGCGUAGUUUGGAGCUGUCAUACAUCCAGCCGGAUCAUGGUGGAGUAAAAGCAAACUGAUGUCCACACUUGGCUGCCACAUCUAUACUGAGAAAAAGAGAGUAGUGCAGCUCCAGCCAUCACUUGGGAGUUUUAUAAUGAUUGUGCUGGGCCUGGGACAUAUGGCAUUAGACAGUAAUACAUUGUGCUGCAGUUGCAGAGAAAUUGGAGGUAUUGCCUGCUAUUGUGCAGCACAGCAAACCAGCAUCAGCCUGUGCCAAGGGUCCUGA
rnacentral:lncRNA from 12 species